rnacentral:lncRNA from 1 species
UAAAAUUUGACCUAGUUUCAACUUGCUAGAACCAAGUUGUUUUCUUCCGCCGUUUGUUUUCCGUUGCUUUGUUCGGUUCUUUCUUUCUUUGCAACCGGAGUUCUUAAGUUGAACUAUCUGGUUCGAUCUCUUGUUUGAGUUUUACCUAUGCAUUAGAUGAGUACUUAUUGUAUGCUUGUUGUUUGUCUGUGAUAGAUUACCCGGAUUGCGCCGCUUGUUACUUCGAAUCUCUAGGACUCGCGGAUCAUCAGCAAGGCAAGUAACACUUUGAUCAUACCUUUUCUACAACCCAGUUUUAUUGCAUUAGAUCCAUCCUCACACAUUGCAUGAUUAGGAUCUAAUUAAAUUGUGGGAUGGGAAGUAGAUGAGGUAGUACCUAUUACCUGUUUAUUAUGAAACCUUUGGGAGUUACUUCUACGUUUGCUUAUUUUGCCAUGCUAUGCUAGUAGACGUGGAUUGGGUGAGUGAUAUCCAUGACAGAUGUGAGAUUGAUAAUUUUAAUGGUUUAUCUAAGGUUGCAACUUAAACACACAUCUGGGUGGAUUGAGGCACCUGGUUUUUAUCAGGACUUGCAUGUUUUCUUUUGGACCGCCACCCAGGCUCAAAGGGAUCAUAAGAUCUUUCAUACUAGAAACUUCCGUGUGCAGCCACAAGCCAAUAUGGGCUCUGGCAUAGUUGACUAAGUCGUGCGAACUCUUGCAGUGUAGACUAGCAGAUGUAGGGGAAAGUAGGUGUACCGGUCUAUCCAUCGUAAGGUGCUAGCGCUUCUGAAAGACUGUGUCUCGGUCAUCCGUUUCUCAAACACCAGUAGUGCGAGAAAUCCAACGGAGGCGAUCGAGUCUUGUGGGGAAAAGUGCGCAAACCUCUGCAGAGUGUAAUAAACUAAUCAUGAUUAGCCGUGUCCCCGGUUAUGGACAUCUUGAGUAUCUAGUACUUGAAUAUCAUGUGAAUCUCAUCAUGUUACUUCUAAUUAAUAUUGUUGGGUUUUAAUUGUUCACUUAAUUGGGAUCGGAAUGCUGUCAACCAUUCUCGAUGUUCAACUACCAUGAUAGUUAAAUAAAUUUAUUCCUUUGCAGUAGGGAAAAACUGGCUUUACGCAAAACAGUAACCAUAGAGCUUUCCACCAGCCAAAUAUGCAUAUAGUAUAGCUGUUUCAUUCCAUUACUCUCUAUGUGUUACAUUGCCAGCAUAUUCCAUGUGCUGACCCAUUUUCGGGCUGCAACGUUAAUGUUGCAGACUUUUCAGACGACGAGUAAGGUGCUUUUAGGUCAUGGUUCUAUACUCAGUGAUGCCGUUGGAGUUGAUGGACCCACUUAUCUUCCAAGUCUUCCGAUGUUAUCAACAUUAGAUGGCCUUAAGCCAUAUUUAUUGUAAUAAGUUCUCUUUUGAGACAUCGAUGUAAUAAGUGUGUGAUUUCUACUCUGCUAUAAAUCCUUCGAAGUACUGUGUGGUGUCAGCAUUACUGAUCCAGGGAUGACACCGGAGCACAGAGACUUGAUCCAUUCGGGUCGGGUCGCUACAGAGAUGGUAUCAGAGCACACGCUGACUAUAGGACACGACCACUAAGUUAAAGCCAUAGAUCACUAUUCUCUCCUCAUUUUCUAACUCCUCAUCUUUUCUACUCUUUAGGAUGAAGGACGCGAAGAUCAAGUACACUCAACCGGAUGAAGGAACACCAUUUGGAUUUCACUUGAAGGAAGUCACCAAGUACCUAAACAUUGGAUUGCCAAGUUUCACGGGAACCUUCAACGCCACUCUGCCUGAAGAGGAGCGCUGGAAGAUUCAAGCUCACGUUCCGGAAAGGACAUUCGCGCCAAUCACGAAACCCAUAGAUAGUGUUUUCAAUGCACCAACCUGGAGUCUGGGAAAAAGCAUGGCAGCCCAUAUCACCAUAGGACGCAUUGGAGAAGUUUAUCAAGAAGACCUCAAGGACACUAUCUACCAGAUUUGCGGACGCCGAGAUGAACAAUGGGAAUUAGUCAGCACCAAGAAGGAUAGAUCCAUUGCAGCUUUCAUCCAGGAGUUAAACCAACACAUUCGACGCCACGAGAACCAGAUGUGCAAUGACAUGAUAGAGUUGAAGAAUGCGAAGGCAAGGAUCAUCGAGCUAGAAGGAGAACUGAAGGCUACACGAAAGGACUACAUGGACGAGAUCGUAGCUCUAGCAAGACACAACGGUGAUCUUAAGCAAGAGAUUGAAGAACUCAAGAGGGAGUUAGCGUCCAGGAAGGAAGACAUGUACGUCGCAUGUCCGGACAACUACAUCAUCCUCGACGACACCGAUUCGGAUCCAAGUGAACCCGACUUUGAGGACAAAGCUGGAGCGGACAUCAUGGAGUCUUCCACCGGUUCAAAUUUCUAGAUGACCACCAAAUAUUAGUAGUAUUUCCCCCCAUGUAUACACUAUAGUUCGAGCACUUUUUGCGAUAGCUAGAUCGAUUGUAAGCCCUUGUUUGAAUUGAAUGAAGUGAUUUGUGUGCAUUUGCUCAUGUGCAUUGGGGUAGUGUUUUCUCUUUAGACCUCACUCUAUUCUUAUUUCUCAUCUUUUCUAAACACUCAGAUGCCUCCGAGACGUGACAAUGGAUUUCCACCGGAGCUCACUCAGUUAAUUCAGCAACAGAAUCAAUUGAUGCAGAUGUUAGUUCAGAAUCAGCAGAACAACAACAACAACAACCCACCUCCACCACCGCCACCUGUUGACCACUUAGCCCGUUUCCUUAGGCUAAAUCCACCGGUGUUUUCUAGUAGCACCAAGCCGAUAGUAGCAGACGAUUGGCUCCGCAAGAUAGGAAGGGAGUUGACCACUGCAGGAUGCACAGAUGGUGAGAAGGUGAAGUUUGCCGCACAUCAGCUUGACGGACCCGCGGCAGCAUGGUGGGAGAAUUUCAUAGCCACUUUCCCAGUUGACACUCUCACAUGGGAUCAGUUUCAGCAAGCUUUCUGCACUGCACAUGUUUCAGCAGGAGCUAUGGCCAUGAAGAAGCGUGAGUUUCGCAACUUACGCCAAGGAGGAAGGACAGUUGGACAGUACGUUGAUGAUUUCAGCAAGUUAGCACGUUAUGCCCCAGAUGACGUUGCUAUGGAUGCAACUAAGCAGGAGAAGUUUCUGGAAGGAUUGAAUGAUGAGUUAAGCAUGCAGUUGAUGGUAGCAAGUUUCAACAACUACCAGGAGUUGGUAGAUCGUGCCAUCAUGAUUGAAGGGAAGCAACAGCAGAUUGAGAACCGCAAGAGGAAGUAUGGACAGGGGAAGUAUAAUUCUGGAGCCGCCCAGCAGAAGCCCCGUUUUACCCCUAAAUCGGGAUUUCAGUUUCAGCAUACCCAUGGAGGAGGUAGUUCGCACAACCACAAUGGCCACAAGAAUGGUAAUGGGAAUGGAGGAAGCAACGGCCAGAACCGUACCACCCCAUCAACCCCAGCCAAGAGAGAUCUGAGUCAAGUCACCUGUUUCAAGUGUUCCAAGACCGGACAUUAUGCCAAUGAAUGUCCUGAAGGCCAGAAUGGAAAUAGCAAUGGAAGCUCAGGGAAGAAGCCGAACCCUUUCAAUAGGGGACAGGUGAACCACGUUAACGUGGAGGAGGUUGAAGAUCAGCCUGAUGCAGUAAUCGGUAAGUUUUUGGUUAAGUCAUUUACCGCACUCGUUCUUUUCGAUACUGGUGCAUCACAUUCAUACAUAUCAAGGGGAUUUGUGGAAAAAUAUAGCCUGCCCACUAGGACUCUUAAAACCCCUAUGCUAAUAAGCUCGCCAGGAGCAGAAUACAUGGCCAGCCAAGGAUGUUUUCAAGUGCCAUUAAGCAUAGGAAGGCAUGUUUUCCCAACAGAUUUAAUUAUCCUGGAAUCCUAGGGUCUAGAUGUAAUUCUCGGUAUGGAUUGGCUGUCGAUGUAUGGAGGAAACAUCGAUUGUGCCAGUAAGACAAUUUUUCUUACAACGCCAGAAGGAAGAAGGAUCAAGUAUGUAUCCCGGCAUGUGCCAAAUAGGACACAAGUAAAUUGCCUAACAUGAGUUGUGCAGGAGGAAGUACCUGUGGUGAAGGAUUACCCUGAUGUAUUUCCGGAAGAGUUGCCAGGCAUGCCAUCGGAUAGAGACGUUGAGUUUUUGAUUGAAUUGUUGCCAGGUACAGUCCCAAUAUCAAAGAGACCAUACCGGAUGCCAGCAAAGGAUUUGGUAGAAAUUAAGAAUCAGAUUAAGGAGUUACUGGAGAAAGGUUACAUACGCCCAAGUUCUUCGCCUUGGGGAUCACCCGUACUUCUAGUGGAGAAGAAGGAUGGAUCAUUAUGGAUGGUUGUUGAUUACCGUGGAUUGAACGAAGUAACCAUCAAGAACAAGUACCCACUGCCAAUGAUUAAUGAUCUGUUUGAUCGUUUGCAAGGAGCUAAAGUGUUUUCCAAGAUCGAUUUGCGAUCAGGGUACCACCAGUUGAAGAUUCGAGAGCAGGAUAUACCUAAGACAGCAUUCACCACAAGAUAUGGACUGUGUGAGUAUACCGUUAAGUCAUUUGGAUUGACUAACGCGCCUACCUAUUUUAUGAACCUGAUGAACAAGGUGUUUAUGGAGUUUUUGGAUAAGUUCGUCGUAGUGUUGAUUGAUGAUAUCCUGGUUUAUUCAAAGAAUGAAGAAGAGCAUAAGGAACAUUUGCGUUUGGUUUUGGAGAAACUAAGGGAACAUCAGUUAUAUGCCAAAUUUAGCAAAUGUGAGUUUUGGUUGAAGGAAGUAGGAUUCCUCGGACACGUUAUAUCUGGAGAAGGGAUAGCAGUUGACCCCACAAAGGUUGAGACCGUAACCGAAUGGGAAGCACCAACGACAGUUGGAGAGAUCCGGAGUUUUCUUGGACUCGCAGGAUACUACCGGAGAUUCAUUGAGAACUUUUCAAAGAUUGCAAAGCCUAUGACGGAGUUGUUGAAGAAGGAUACUAAGUUCAAAUGGACUGAGGAGUGUGAGGCUAGUUUUCAGGAGUUGAAGAAACAAUUGGUUACCUCACCAGUGUUGAUUUUGCCAGAUCAGACCAAGGAUUAUGAGGUGUAUUGCGACGCUUCACGUCGAGGACUUGGAGCAGUGCUUAUGCAGGAAGGGAGAGUUGUUUCGUAUGCUUCACGACAACUGAAGCCUCAUGAGUUGAAUUACGCCACGCAUGAUUUGGAGUUAGCAGCCGUAGUGCAUGCAUUGAAGACAUGGAGACAAUUCCUCAUUGGAAAUCAUUGUGAGGUGUACACGGAUCACAAGAGUUUGAAGUACAUUUUCACGCAGAAGGAGUUGAAUCUCAGACAAAGGAGAUGGUUGGAGCUCGUCCAGGAUUAUGAUAUGAGAUUGCAUUACCAUCCCGGAAAAGCUAAUGUAGUAGCUGACGCAUUGAGCCGUAAGAGCCAUGUCAAUACGUUAAUAACGGGAGAAAUACCCAAGGAGUUAGCAGAAAACCUUCGUGAACUAAGUUUAGAGAUAGUUCCGAAAGGCUAUGUAGCAGCAUUGGAGAUUCAGUCAACAUUGAUGGAUAAAAUCAGAGAGACUCAAAAAUCUGACAAGGAAAUUGCUUCUAUAAAGGAGAAACUAAGCAAAGGAAAAGCAAAGGGAUUUCGUGAGGAUGAGCACGAUACCCUAUGGUUUGAGGACCGUGUUUAUGUGCCCAAUGACCCGGAGAUCAGGAAGUUGAUUCUACAAGAGGCACAUGAUUCACCAUAUUCGAUUCACCCAGGAAAUACCAAGAUGUAUUUGGAUUUGAAGGAGACAUUCUGGUGGACCGGAAUGAAGAAGGAUAUUGCAGCAUAUGUAGCAGUUUGUGAUGUGUGUCAUAGAGUGAAGGCAGAACAUCAGAAGCCAGCCGGAUUGUUACAACCAUUGCCGAUACCCGAAUGGAAGUGUGAUAAGAUAGGCAUGGAUUUUAUCACAGGACUACCCAGGACGAAAGCACGAUAUGACUCGAUAUGGGUAGUAGUUGAAUCGUUUGACGAAGGUAGCACAUUUCAUUCUAGUUAAGACCACUUACACCAGUGCUAAAUUGGCAAAGAUAUACAUGACUAGGAUCAUUUGUUUGCAUGGAGUUCCGAGGAGUAUUGUAUCAGACAGAGGAACCCAAUUUACCUCAAAGUUUUGGAAUCAGUUGCAUGAAACUUUGGGAACCAGGUUAGAGUUCAGCACCGCUUUUCAUCCGCAGACAGAUGGACACACCGAGAGAGUCAAUCAGAUUUUGGAAGAUAUGCUGAGAGCUUGUGCACUAGAUUAUGGAUAUAGUUGGGAUGAUAACUUGCCGUAUGCGGAAUUUUCUUAUAACAACAGUUAUCAAACCAGUUUGAAGAUGGCACCUUUCGAAGCUUUAUAUGGAAGGAGGUGCAGGACACCGUUGUCAUGGGACGAAGUUGGAGACCGUCAGUUCUUUGGAACAGAUUUGAUUAAGGAGUCUGAACGGAAAGUUAAGUUGAUACGCGAUAGGCUCAAGGUAGCCUAGUCCAGGCAGAAGAGCUACGCAGAUUCUAAACGCAAGGAGACAGUUUACGAAACCGGAGACAGGGUGUAUCUCCGAGUAUCCCCACUUCGAGGAGUUAAGCGCUUUGGAGUUAAGGGAAAAUUAGCACCGCGUUUCGUUGGACCAUAUAAGAUCUUGCAACGUAUGGGAGAAGUCGCUUAUAAGUUAGAAUUACCAGAGGGAUUGUCAGGAGUUCAUGACGUAUUCCAUGUUUCUCAGCUGAAGAAGUGUCACGCCGAGAUGGCGGAGGUACCGUUAAGAGAUACAGUGCCGCUUGAAGCAAUUCACCUGAAGGACGACUUAACGUAUGAGGAGAAGCCAGUCAAGAUUCUCGAGUAUGCCAGCAGAGUUAACCGCAGCAAGGUUAUCAAGUUUUGCAAAGUUCAGUGGAAGCACCACUCAGAGGAUGAAGCCACCUGGGAGAGAGAAGAAGAUUUGCUCAAGGACCACCCUCACCCUCAAUUUGGAAUGUUAUACAUUAGAUCAUCAUGCAUAUCAUAUUUUCUUGCAUUUUGGGUCGAUCCUAGAAAUUUCACGCAACUCAAGGACCCUCGGAGAGAGUUGGAGAUUUUGUUAUUUUCAUGUUUGAGUCUUCUCAAAAAAUUUUUAAAAAAGGGGGAUCAUUGGAUUUGUCGGAGUUUAUUUUACUUUUAUUUGGAUAGGGAAAAAUGCGUGUUUUCAAAAUUUGCAUCCUAGGUCCCGAGAAAAGUUCAUUUUGUUCGACUCAUUUUUAGGAGUCGGGGAAAAUUUACUUUGGGAAUUUUGGAGUCCGUUUAGAUGUUCUUUUAUUUGUUUUUUUCUGCGCGCGUAACCAUUUAAAAAAAAUCCGCAGCGCCGCUUGGGCCAAGGCCCAGCAGCCGGCCGGCCAGGCCUCCCGACCGCCGCCGCCAAGUAGGAGUCCUACUCGGACUCCAUCUCUCCUUCCCCUCUUAAAUACCCCCACACCCCCCCUUUUUCCCCACACCAAGCCGCGGCCCUCACCCCGCGCCGCCCAACGCCGCCGCCGCCUACGCCGCCGUCGCCCUAGCGCCGCCGCCGCCCUUGCACGCCGCUAUCACCGCCGUUCGCCGGAGCCCCUCGCUGGAGCCUCGACGAGGUAGCCGCGCCGCGCCUCUCUCUUUUUCCCCUCGGUUCGGUUUUUCUUAUAAACCGUUUCGGUUUUCUUUUGAUUUUUUGUGUCGGUUUUCUUUUCCGAAACCCUAGAUCGGUUUUCGUUUUGCUUUCCGGUUUAGUUGCCUAGAGACCGUUCGCCGGACCGUUCGUCCUAAUGAACGUGAUCACGUGUUAUUCCCGGUUAACGAAUGUCCGUUCGUUUAGCCGUUCUUCUUUUUCUUUUCGUCGGAUUUAUUCCGCAACCGCGAUCUCAGAACCGAUCUUCGUUCUAGUCUAUCUUCUCGCUCGUUUAUCAGAAUCAGGUGAUUCAAGCGCCUGGUGUUUCGUUUCGAAACCGCCGUUCCGACUAAUCAACUUAAACAAGUUUUUGCUACUGUAAAAUUUGACCUAGUUUCAACUUGCUAGAACCGAGUUGUUUUCUUCCGCCGUUUGUUUUCCGUUGCUUUGUUCGGUUCUUUCUCUCUUUGCAACCGGAGUUCUUAAGUUGAACUAUCUGGUUCGAUCUCUUGUUUGAGUUUUACCUGUGCAUUAGAUGAGUACUUAUUGUAUGCUUGUUGUUUGUCUGCGAUAGAUUACCCGGAUUGCGUCGCCUGUUACUUCGAAUCUCUAGGACUCGCGGAUCAUCAGCAAGGCAAGUAACACUUUGAUCAUACCUUUUCUACAACCCAGUUUUAUUGCAUUAUAUCCAUCCUCACACAUUGCAUGAUUAGGAUCUAAUUAAAUUGUGGGAUGGGAAGUAGAUGAGGUAGUACCUAUUACCUGUUUAUUAUGAAACCUUUGGGAGUUACUUCUAUGUUUGCUUAUUAUGCCAUGCUAUGCUAGUAGACGUGGAUUGGGUGAGUGAUAUCCAUGACAGAUGUGAGAUUGAUAAUUUUAAUGGUUUAUCUAAGGUGGC